CUAUCAAACACAAUCCAAUAUUCUUCCAAUCUUCCCACAUAUGUUUCUACUUUUCAUCCACCGAGAAAACCUCAUCUUUCUUCCUCUUUUAGAUCUGCUGAAGACGGUGAUGGUGAUUUUGGCUACCGUGGAUGCUUAACAAGUGGUGUGUGGUUGUUGGUUCCGAAAACAUGUUUUUUUCAGAAAACAUUUUCAGAUCUAAAAUUUUUAGCGAAAUAUUAUAGACGGAGGGGGUAGGUGUGUCUUUAAUUGGACAUUCUGCUGGAGGAUGGCUUGCUCGUCUCUACAUGGAAGGAUUUGGAACCUCCAAUGUUUCCUUACUGUUGACUCUUGGAUCUCCUCUCUCGUCCGCCUCCAAAAGAUUCACCAAGAGUAAUUGAUGAAAUUAGAGGCCUCUUGGAUUAUGUUGAAAUACAUUACGCUCCUGUUGUUUAUACUUUGGAGUUGAGAUAUGUAUGUGUUGCAGGGAGGUAAAGUAAAAUCCAGCUCUAACGAAAUUCAUUACUGCCUACGUUGUCAGCAGAUGGGUCUUUACUCUUUAGCAUUAAUGUUGCUUUUAUCUACAUCACUUCCACAUUUGUCAGUUUGAUUUGGCUUUGUUGCUUAGCUCAACUACUUUGAGUGAAUGAAUUGUAAUGGCUAGAGAUAAAUAUAUUGAAGUCUGGGCUUAACAACCUCCAUUGUUCUUGUGAAAUGCAAGGUCAAAUCACUUAAGUUUUAUUCCAUUUUGUUUCAUCACCG